rnacentral:lncRNA from 1 species
GGCGGCCGCCGCCGGACCUGCCCGCACCUGUCACUAGCGAAAGAACCAGCUCGCGGCUCCCGCCCACUUCUCCACUAUCCUCGGGCAACCGCGGGCAUCUCAACCCCUUUCUCUUACCAGGUGUCCCCUUUCCGGAGCGAGGUUUUGAGCAGCGUCGCGAUGUCAGACCGCUGGGUGUCCAGAUCCGCCGCUCCGCCUUCCGCCAUCUUCUUCCACUAGCGGUAGGGGAGGUGGCAGCGACGGCGGCGGCACGCCCCAGAGCAUUAUGGGAAUGGCGUCC